GACGGACGCUGGCGGCGUGCUUAACACAUGCAAGUCGAGCGGUAAGGCCCUUUCGGGGGUACACGAGCGGCGAACGGGUGAGUAACACGUGGGUGACCUGCCCUCAGCUCUGGGAUAAGCCUGGGAAACCGGGUCUAAUACCGGAUAUGACUCCAUGACGCAUGUUGUGGGGUGGAAAGCCUUGUGCGGCUGAGGAUGGGCCCGCGGCCUAUCAGCUUGUUGGUGGGGUGAUGGCCUACCAAGGCGACGACGGGUAGCCGGCCUGAGAGGGCGACCGGCCACACUGGGACUGAGACACGGCCCAGACUCCUACGGGAGGCAGCAGUGGGGAAUCUUGCGCAAUGGGCGAAAGCCUGACGCAGCGACGCCGCGUGAGGGAUGACGGCCUGGU
rnacentral:rRNA from 1 species